AGCUAUCGCUUACUUCCGGUAUACUUCCGGAAAAUUUGCAUGAAACUAACAAGUGAGCUUUGUUCUCUGUAGAAUUCUAAAGAUUCCAUGCUAAUUUAAGCAAAGAGUAAUGGUCUUUUUGAUUACUUUUUAUGACUUGUGACUAUCUAAGGCCAGUCCUUUAGAUAUUGAGUUUUGAACGUGUCAAAUAGAUGGCGUGAUAGAAUGUUGUUUGUUUGUUGUGUCACAUAUGGGCUCGUUCGUUGUCAAAAGUUCAGCUACAGCUAUCUUCUUCGAAAAUUACCAAUGAAUUCGCUUGUAAAUUGACUAGAUUUCCUGUGCAAUUUGUUUGGCAUGUGUUGUUUACCGAAUAUGUGUUUUUAAUAACAUCAUUAUUUCUCCUCCAUUUCCAGGAAAAAAUGUGAAAGGUGCAUGAAGCCAGUACUGUCAACUAUUGUGUUAAAACUCCUGGUACCCUACAGAAUAUGUCAUCCAAAUGACAGAGUGGUAACAACCAAUGCUAGCUUUAGUAAAGUAUUGCUGGAACAUAGUCUUCUCAUCUUUUAUUAGGAUUCAUCACUAUUAUCGGCUGAAUCAUUCUAUGGGACUUGCCUGAUCACCAACCCAAGCAUGGACCAAUUUCUCAUUCCAUCUUCUAGAGAACCUUACAUAACCGAUCCGACCUUAGUGUGUUUUAGGUUUCUAAUGUAGCAUGAUAUAGACUAUGAGAAGUCAUGUUGUUUGAAGGAAAAGGACUAUGCAGUCGACAAGGUUCUUUGCUAACCUGUUGGCUGCUACCCUUGAAUCUCCCUGUUUACUUCCUUACACGGGUCCUCUUGAUUUGAGGGUAAUCCUUCGCUAUACUGAUCACAUCCACUGGUGAAAACCGACAAGAGAAUGCUGUAAUCCAAGACUGAUACAUUGUGUAGUUGGUAGAUAAAUGACAAUUGCAUAUCUGGGCUCCCUUCUUUUCUGUGGCCCCGUUUCCCUAACUAACCACUACCCAACGCCCGCCGGUGGUCACUCACCCGCUGUG